rnacentral:lncRNA from 1 species
GGAUGUAAAUCAAAUUUCUUUUCUUUGCAUUGGUAUGCAUAACCUUUUAUAGGUUUUGUACACGCAUCACAAUACAUGUCAUAAUCUUUUUUGCAAUUAUGCUUAUUACAGUUAUGUGUAGGAGAUUUCCUAGAAAAUGUGAUUGUUGAUUCUUCAAAAGGUUUAUGGUGAGUUAUUGAGUUGGGGAAUGCACAAGGUUCAUGAAGAUCACAGUCACAAGCUUUG